rfam:Ignavibacteria bacterium GWC2_36_12 gwc2_scaffold_7483, whole genome shotgun sequence.
UUUGGUGGUUAUAACCUGGGUGUUACACCUCUUCCCAUUCCGAACAGAGAAGUUAAGCCCCAGAAUGCCGAUGGUACUGCAUGCGCAGGUGUGUGGGAGAGUAGGUAGCUGCCAGAU